UUGACAUUUACCCCGCCCCUUCGCUCCGGGAAUCCAGAGUUGUUUACAUUACUGCCACGGGUCAGGAAUGCGCACAGGGAAACUCGACUGCAGCACGACUUUGGAUUGGAAAAGUAAGCCCCAAAGCAAAGACAACCGCCAUCACCACCAGAAGACCGAAGGAAUAGUGAGGCUCCCACUUCCUGCCCAAUGUCUCAGCUCUGUACCAUCAGUUUCCCAGAACAGAACACAGCCACAGAUGAUUCAGGAGUGACUGAGUUGACCUAAUUAUUACUCAACUUCCUGUUGCCACAUCCCCUCUCCAUCAAAAACAACACAGAGAGUAGUCACUCUCACUCAGCUAGGUGAUGGAGAUGAGAUCAGUGCCUGUCUCUCUGAACUACAGUAUCAAGGAUCUAGUCAGGAACCUGAUGGAUGAUCAGUCAAUGGCAGCCAAAAGCUGGCUGCUUCAAACCGGGCUGAGCGUCAACGGGUUGUAGCGUUUAGGCAGGGCCGCCUGCCAGUAACCUUGUUUUUGAUUGCUGAUGAGACGUGAAUUGUGUUUGACAGCCUUUGGCGAAAUGUCAUGAUUUGUUGCAUUGUAAACUAGGUUAUGCUUUUGUUGUUGUGGCAUCUAGGUUAUAAAUCUGUCUGGAAGAGGCCUAUCUCGGUUUGUCUCAUGUUUGACAUUGUAACAGUUUACAUCAUUGGAUUUAUGCUCUUACAUUAUAUCUGCUUUAUCCAAAUAUGUGAAAUUGAAAUGUUGUAUAAUAUAUAUUAAAAAAAAGAAA